UUUAGAGUGAGGCUCUGGGUCACCUCCCACCCGUGUCUAUCGUACCUUGUUGCUUCGGCGGGCCCGCCGUUUCGACGGCCGCCGGGGAGGCCCUGCGCCCCCGGGCCCGCGCCCGCCGAAGACCCCAACAUGAACGCUGUUCUGAAAGUAUGCAGUCUGAGUUGAUUAUCGUAAUCAGUUAAAACUUUCAACAACGGAUCUCUUGGUUCCGGCAUCGAUGAAGAACGCAGCGAAAUGCGAUAAGUAAUGUGAAUUGCAGAAUUCAGUGAAUCAUCGAGUCUUUGAACGCACAUUGCGCCCCCUGGUAUUCCGGGGGGCAUGCCUGUCCGAGCGUCAUUGCUGCCCUCAAGCACGGCUUGUGUGUUGGGCCCCCGUCCCCCUCUCCCGGGGGACGGGCCCGAAAGGCAGCGGCGGCACCGCGUCCGGUCCUCGAGCGUAUGGGGCUUUGUCACCUGCUCUGUAGGCCCGGCCGGCGCCAGCCGACACCCAACUUUAUUUUUCUAAGGUUGACCUCGGAUCAGGUAGGGAUACCCGCUGAACUUAAGCAUAUCAAA
rnacentral:rRNA from 1 species